AUGCUGCGGCGAUUUUGGAGGGCCGCCGCGCGGGUGAAGGCCGGGUUGUUCUGUCGCCGUUGACCUCGUUCUACCAGGGGCAGCACAACCAUUCCCCUCAAUGUCCAGUUAUCUGUUAAAAGGAAGAAUCCCACAGGACAUGAUUCUGUUGUUAACAGUAUCGGAGUUGCGCAUGCCCGUAGGCCCCUUGAUUGUGAAAACAACCUGCAAUCCAAUACCAAUCAGGUUAUCAUUUCAUCUUCUCAUAUAAAUUUGAUGGAAGAAUUUGUAGCGUUCUGUAAGAGUAAGAAAGCAGAGCAAGCUCGUAAAUGCAGUCAACAUCCCAAGAUAAAUCUUCACAACAGUCCCCUUGCUGAUAAGAAUAGAUUCAAGGACAGAGUUGUGGCAUUAUAUGGUGAUUACUUGCCUAUUGAGGUAAAUUCAUUUUACUCAAUUUUUCUAAAAUUCCUUUUGCAUGUGUAUGUUGUUUAUGUAUUUUCAUUUCUUACCACUCUUAUUGAAUGUAUAUCUUGUUUAGUUGUUCCGGUUUCUUUCAAUACUUCUUUUUCUUCUUAUUAUUAUUCAGUUUAGGGAAUAUCUUGUUUGUUGGGUUGCUGUUCAGCCUUUCUUGUUGAUCAAUUUGUAGUGUUCAUUAUUAGAUGUCUUGUGUUUCAGUGAUUUGCCAAAGGGCCACGUGAGAAGUUGAUGUGAGCAUGUGUGGCUGAACCGUUCCGUGUUAAGAACCAUUCAAUAAUUUGGAUUGCUCAGUUUAAGAUCAUUAUAAUUUUAGUUUAUCAAAAUAAUUUGGUGAAAAAUAGGCUGUAUAUAUAUACCAUACCACAGCGGGGCUUCCCCUGCUGUACAGUUUUCAAAAAAAGAAAAAAGAAAAACAG